rnacentral:rRNA from 1 species
GACGAACGCUGGCGGCGUGCCUAACACAUGCAAGUCGAACGGAACUGUUUUGAAAGAUUUCUUCGGAAUGAAUUUGAUUUAGUUUAGUGGCGGACGGGUGAGUAACGCGUGAGUAACCUGCCUUCAAGAGGGGGAUAACAUUCUGAAAAGAAUGCUAAUACCGCAUGACAUAUCGGAAUCACAUGGUUUUGAUAUCAAAGAUUUUAUCGCUUGAAGAUGGACUCGCGUCCGAUUAGUUAGUUGGUGAGGUAACGGCUCACCAAGACCGCGAUCGGUAGCCGGACUGAGAGGUUGAACGGCCACAUUGGGACUGAGACACGGCCCAGACUCCUACGGGAGGCAGCAGUGGGGGAUAUUGCGCAAUGGGGGCAACCCUGACGCAGCAACGCCGCGUGAAGGAUGAAGGUUUUCGGAUUGUAAACUUCUUUUAUUAAGGACGAAAAAUGACGGUACUUAAUGAAUAAGCUC